ACUGCUUCUCGGCCUGUUGGCUAAGAUGGAGGAUAGUAUCUGUUGUUAUCAGUUUAAUAUCCGAUGCAUCCUCUAUUGGAGGACAAUAUAUUAAAUGUAUUUUUGGAGCAGGGAGAUGCGAUAGGAUCUUGCUCCAUCCACUCCAUGCAUUGACCACCAUGGUAUUGCAGUACCUCCAGGAAUGAUGCACCCCCU
ensembl:snRNA U2 U2 spliceosomal RNA